GGGAAACCUGCUUCGGUCUCCAUGGUUACGAGCCGCUCAGCGCGCAGGAGGGGGAUUCAAAGAAAAGAAAAAAAAAACCAUGCUGAAUUGGCCAAAUAUUUAUCUAGGACUUCCCAGCCUGAGAACUGUAAGAAAUAAAAUUUUACUCUUUAA